GAAAUGCGAUAAGUAAUGUGAAUUGCAGAAUUCAGUGAAUCAUCGAAUCUUUGAACGCACCUUGCGCUCCUUGGUAUUCCUUGGAGCAUGCCUGUUUGAGUAUCAUGAAAUCUUCAAAGUAAAUCUUUUGUUAACUCAAUUGGUUUCUACUUUGGUAUUGGAGGUCUUUGCAGCUUCACACCUGCUCCUCUUUGUUCAUUAGCUGGAUCUCAGUGUUAUGCUUGGUUCCACUCGGCGUGAUAAGUUAUCUAUCGCUGAGGACACUGUAAAAGGUGGCCAGGGUAAAUGCAGAUGAACCGCUUCUAAUAGUCCAUUGACUUGGACAAUACUUUUAUGAUCUGAUCUCAAAUUAGGUAGGACUACCCGCUGAACUUAAGC
rnacentral:misc_RNA from 1 species